UGAGUACGAGAUGCUACGGCAUCGAAGCAGUCUAUGUCAUACUCCCAAGAAAAGCUUGCACUGUCAGAAACAGAUAAUGCCUGUACCAUAACCGACACAGGUGGGUAGGUAGAGUAUACUAAGGGGCGCGAGAUAACUCUCUAAGGAACUCGGCAAAAUGACUCCGUAGCUUCGGGAGAAGGAGUGCCUUAUUUUUAAGGUUGCAAUAACAAGAUCCAAGCAACUGUUUACCAAAAACACAGGUCUCCGCUAAGUCGUAAGACGAUGUAUGGGGGCUGACGCCUGCCCAGUGCCAGAAGGUUAAAGAAGUCGGUUAGCAUUCGCGAAGCUGGUAACUGAAGCCCUGGUGAACGGCGGCCGUAACAAUAACGGUCCUAAGGUAGUGAAAUUCCUUGUCGGGUAAGUUCCGACCCGCACGAAAGGCGUAAUGAUUUGGAUACUGUCUCGGAGAGGGGCUCGGUGAAAUAGACUUGUCUGUGAAGAUGCGGACUACCUGCACCUGGACAGAAGACCCUAUGAAGCUUUACUGUAACUUGAAAUUGAAAUUGGACUUUAUUUGCGCAGUAUAGGUGGGAGGCGUUGAAAAUAUUCUUGCGGGAAUAUUGGAGCCAUCAGUGAGAUACCACUCUUGUAAUGUUAGAUUUCUAACUUUAUAUCAUUAUCUGGUUAAAGAACAGUUUCAGGCGGGCAGUUUGACUGGGGCGGUCGCCUCCCAAAUGGUAACGGAGGCGCACAAAGGUUUCCUCUGAACGGGUAGAAAUCGUAUCUAGAGUGUAAAGGCAUAAGGAAGCUUGACUGUGAGACCUACAAGUCGAGCAGGGACGAAAGUCGGUCUUAGUGAUCUGACGGUGCUGAGUGGAAAGGCCGUCACUCAACGGAUAAAAGUUACUCUAAGGAUAACAGGCUGAUCUCCCCCAAGAGUUCACAUCGACGGGGAGGUUUGGCACCUCGAUGUCGGCUCAUCGCAUCCUGGGGCGGUAGUACGUCCCAAGGGUUGGGCUGUUCGCCCAUGAAAGCGGUACGCGAGCUGGGUUCAGAACGUCGUGAGACAGUUCGGUCCAUAUCCGGUGUAGGCGUUAGAAUAUUGAGAGGAGCCUUCUUUAGUACGAGAGGACCGAGAAGGACAUACCUCUGGUGUACCAGUUAUCGUGCCAACGGUAAACGCUGGGUAGCUAUGUAUGGAGUGGAUAACCGCUGAAAGCAUCUAAGUGGGAAGCCCACCUCAAGAUAAGUAUUCUC
rnacentral:rRNA from 1 species